UACGUAGGGGGCGAGCGUUGUCCGGAAUUACUGGGCGUAAAGCGAGCGCAGGUGGUUUAUUAAGUCUGGUGUAAAAGGCAGUGGCUCAACCAUUGUGUGCAUUGGAAACUGUUAGACUUGAGUGCAGUAGAGGAGAGUGGAAUUCCAUGUGUAGCGGUGAAAUGCGUAGAUAUAUGGAGGAACACCGGUGGCGAAAGCGGCUCUCUGGACUGUAACUGACACUGAGGCUCGAAAGCGUGGGUAGCAAACAGG
rnacentral:rRNA from 1 species